rnacentral:rRNA from 1 species
UACGUAGGGUGCAAGCGUUUGUCCGGAAUUAUUGGGCGUAAAGAGCUCGUAGGCGGUUUGUUGCGUCGGCUGUGAAAUCCCGAGGCUCAACCUCGGGUCUGCAGUCGAUACGAGCAAACUAGAGUGUUGCAGGGGAGACUGGAAUUCCUGGUGUAGCGGUGAAAUGCGCAGAUAUCAGGAGGAACACCGGUGGCGAAGGCGGGUCUCUGGGCAACAACUGACGCUGGAGGAGCGAAAGCUAGGGGAGCAAACGGG